AGAGGGUGCAAGCGUUGUCCGGAAUCACUGGGCGUAAAGGGCGCGUAGGCGGCCCGAUAAGUAGGGGGUGAGAUCUUGCGGCUCAACCGCAAGGCUGCCUUCUAGACUGUCGGGCUUGAGCACAGUAGAGGCAGGUGGAAUUCCCGGUGUAGCGGUGGAAUGCGUAGAGAUCGGGAAGAACAUCGGUGGCGAAGGCGGCCUGCUGGGCUGUUGCUGACGCUGAGGCGCGACAGCGUGGGGAGCAAACAGGAUUAGAUACCCUGGUAGUCCACGCCGUAAACGAUGGGCACUAGGCGUCGGGGGGAGCGACCCUCCCGGUGCCGUCGCUAACGCAGUAAGUGCCCCGCCUGGGGAGUACGGCCGCAAGGCUG
rnacentral:rRNA from 1 species